AUACGGAGGGUGCAAGCGUUGUCCGGAUUUAUUGGGUUUAAAGGGUGCGUAGGUGGUUUUUUAAGUCAGUGGUGAAAGCCUACAGCUUAACUGUAGAGGUGCCAUUGAUACUGGGGAACUUGAGUAUGGACGAGGUAGGCGGAAUUUGUGGUGUAGCGGUGAAAUGCAUAGAUACCACAAGGAACACCGAUAGCGAAGACAGCUUACUGGGCCAUAACUGACACUGAGGCACGAAAGCGUGGGGAGCGAACAGGAUUAGAAACCCUAGUAGUCC
rnacentral:rRNA from 1 species